UUUUUAUAAAAACCCACAUUUAUCCACUUUAGUUCCUCACAAACUUUAUGCAAAAGAAGAAGAAGAGUUAGAGAGAGAGUGAGCUAAGAGAAGAGGUGUGAUCUUUUACAGUGAGUGGGUCGCCGGAGCUCGUCGCCGGAGCAACCGUGUGCCGUGAUCACGUUCAGCUCGACACCACCGUUCGCAACCCUAGACCACCAUCGUGUUCCUCUCGUCUAGACGAAGCCGUAGACACCAACCACGCCGCAAUCGGAGCCCGGACGAAACCGCUAGAGCCUCCCGAAGUUUAGUUUCUGCGCGGGCGUGAAACGCACGCGCCGUUGCCGUCCGCCGGAGCCACCGCGCAUUCCGGCCACUCGCUGCCGUCUCCGACCAACGUUCGCCGGAGCCGCCGUGACCGGCCACCGUCCGUUUGCCGCCGAGAAGCUGCCGCCGCGUCGCCGCCUCGCCGCCGUUGAUUUUCCGAUUUGGAAUCUAUUUGAGCAGCUGGAGUUCAUAGAUACCACGUCUUCUUGUUGCUAAGGUGAGGGCUUCUCCGUUUAAAUCCCGAACUAGUUUAGUACUACCAUUAUGGAAAGUUUAGUUUCGAAACAUGAUCCGUCUCUGUGAAUCGAGUCUGUUUGAGAGUCUUGCUUGUUCAUUAUUGAUAUUGAUUGUUAAACCGGAAAUAGGAUAAUAGAGGAUUCAACGGUUGAUUGAAAUGAUUGAUGUUAAGAACUGUUAAAUAUUUAUAUAUAUAUAUAUAUAUAUAUAUAUUUAUAUAUGCUAGUCCAUGUGUUGAGAUUGCGGGGUGCAGAGGUGAUUGCACUAGGCCGCAUGUUUGAGAGAUCGCGGGGUACGGAGAUAUUUGUACUAGGCCGUGUGUUUAGCGGGGUACAGAGACGUUUGUACUAGGCCGUUUUGUUUGAGAGAUCGCAGGGUACGGAGAUAUCUGUACUAGGCCGUGUGUUUAGCGGGGUACAGAGACGUUUGUACAAGGCCGCUUUGUUUGUGGAGAUUGCGGGGGUACAGAGUGGACUACUGUACUUACGACGCUUGUAGAGUUAUAUAUAAUUAUAUCCUUAUAAGGAAAUGCGGUAUGCUAUUAUCGCAUUGGUUAGCAUGUCUAGUCCACUAGACAUAUGUUGAUUGUUUUGUGUGGUGUAAUAGACGCCGUGUUUGUUUCAUGCUAGAGCUAGGCCUACAUUUUAGUAGUGCUAUGAACUCAGUCAGUGGUUUGCGGUUUAGCAUCCCCAUACCUCACUGGGCGAUUCCCCUGUCGCUCACCCCUCCUUCUUUCCCCUUUCAGGUGAGACCGAUGAGCAGGAGUGAUUAUACCGGACCAGUGCUUUUGGGCUUUUACUACUAUCGAGCUUUGGACUUCUAUCACUUUUAUCGUUUUAUCGCUUUUGGGCCUUUGGGCUCCUAUCUAUCGUUUAUGUUAUCUCGUAUUUUGGACUUUUGGUUUAUGUCGUACUUUAUAUUUCGAAUGUUAUCGUUGUUGGGCCUUUAGGCCUUGUGAUAUUGUAUUGACUUUUAUAUUUAUAAAUGGAGAUUUCAUAAACUAUUAUUUAUCGAAUUGUUUUUAUUAUUUCGAAAGUGACGGGUGUCA